GGGGUUGUGGCUCAGUGGUAAAGCGCUCGCCUACUGUGUGUGAGGCCCUGGGUUUGAUCCUCAGCACCACA
rnacentral:tRNA from 1 species